CUUAAAAACAAAUUUUGAAAAACCUUAAAAAUUGCGACAUUUCAAAAUGUGUCUUACCGAACUUCGUUCCGAAUUGUUUUCUGUUUCGGUGAUUAAAAUAUUGAUGUAUUAUUUUAUUUCCUAAAUCCUAGAUCAUAUUUAGUCUCGUCAAUUUGUUCAACGGCUUUUUCUAUAUUAUUAACAUUAUUGUAUUCGCUCUUGCGCGUUUGUGUGCGUGUGUGCUCCGAUCAGGGUAAACGAUUUUAACGAAAUUAUCGCCAAUUAAUAACUUAUAUAAUUUUAUCAUCUCUCAGAUUUCAUGAAACGACAAAUUGGAUUUUGACGUAGGUACUUAGUGUUACAAUAAUUGUAAUAAGUUUGCAUUCAAUACAGUUUCAUCCGGGGGGAAAAUUCUGGUCGUCAUUUUUUUUUUUUUAACCGGGUUUAUAAAUUUAUAAUAUAUUAUUCCAAUAAAUUUUGAAUUGCGAGUUCUCCUGUAUCUGUAUUGUCUAAUAUUUGAUCUAGUAAUUAUAAAGCGAUUGUUAAUGUUAACAUAAUAUUGAGAAUAUCGUUGUGAUAAAUUAGUAAACGAAAAAGCCGAUAGUAUUUUCAGUACAUUGUUUAUUGUAUUAUAAUAUUAUUGUACUGUACAUUAUAUUUAAUACUCUAUAUUCACAUUUUUUUCGAACUAAAACACUAGUAGAAUUAAUAUUACAUUAGUAAAAAUCUUCUUUUAACAAUUACACGACUGGAGGACCUUUUUUUUUACCCAAUUAUAGCAAUGACAAAGGAGGUAGUAAUAUUUGAAAAAUAUUCACUAACUAAAUAUGGCACUGUUUAUAUGUGUAGUUUAUUUAUUACUAGUUAUAAUUAUACUGAACUAAUUUUUAAAAAAUAUGUGUUAUUUGUUUAACUGUUGUUAUGCUGACUAAUAUAUCAUUUUGUUGAAAUAUGUAUUUAUUGUUAAAAUGAAUGGAAAUAUUUUUAGUUGUUAAUUGCCUAUCCACAACUGUUAACAAAUUACGCUACAGUUGACCGAGUGAACAUUUUCUUUAUUUCUUUUUAACGUCCAACUAAAUAUUUUUACAACGUGGAUCUCAUAAAUUAUAAUUUUUACCAACCUUAACGGACGCAGUGGCGUAUAUUACAAACCAUUAUGCCGUUUCAGUUCAUUUUGAACAUUGAUUGUAAUUAAAAAUUUUAUUUAUUUACAUUAAAUUUUGUAUCUAAAUGACGCUCUUAUAAAUACUAUAAACUGUACCUGUGUGGCUUUGUCCCAAAAUUGUAUUUUAUAAAACUGACUUCUUAAUAACGAAAAAAAAUGUAUUUCUCAUAUGCGACAAAUCCUUACUAUCUUUACGGAAUAACUUACUGUAUUUUUCGUUUUGAUUAUUUCCAUUCAUCUUGCCGUUACAUCCGAUAAGAAAACGUAAUAAUACUUUUAAAAACUACAGAUUUUGUAUUAAGGACGAAAGUUAUUGAACUGUUCAAUUACUUAAGUACUCAUAAUAGUCUUAUUAAGAAGUUACGAUCUGAAAUUUGAAUUAAAAUAGGAUUUUUUUUUUCAUCGUGUUUAAUCAGUCCAGUACAGAAACAAAUAAUCAAUGCAAGGAAAAAAAAACUUUUAACUCUGUAAAUUAGUUUUUUCAUAUUCACAAAUAUAUAAAAUACUUAACUACCUAUGAAAUCAGAAUAACUCUCCGUUUUUAUAGCAUUGUAUUCUAUAUGAUUGAAUUUAUUUUUACAAUUCAUUCAAGUGUAACUGUGAAAAAAAACUGUAAAUAGAUUCAUUCAAUCUCUUGUAAUAAACUAUUAAAUUUUACAAAAUGUUUGUAUAUUCACGUAACUAUUGGUACUUUCAAUAAUAUAUUGUUAUUUACUUUCGAAAUCUAAAUUAAUGUUACGA